UAACAGAAUAAGUGGUGCAGUAUCCUAGUCAGGUAAAUAUCUUUGAGGACGGGGCUAAAAAUCCGUUGAAGAGCAUAUCGAUGAAGUUCCUGGUGCUGGCUUGAGACGCCCAGUUUUGGGCUGGUGCUGGGAGUUAAGGUUGUGGGACAAUCACAAAGGCAUGUGAAAUUGACUCCUACUUCCGUGGAGACCAUUGUAUGUGCUUUAGGAGAGAUAUCUAAAGUACGGCAAUGGAUUAAACCUGCAAUGUGGUAAACUUAGCUAUGUGCAGAGUAGCUUGCCUUGAGUGAUAUAGGGGGAGGUAAUAGAGGAGGUAUUAUUUCUUAGGCCAAGAGAUAGUACUUAUUGCUUACUGAAACCUAUAUUGCAAAAGAGGAUAAAAAGAUAUCCAACUGUUGAGGAAAUCUCCUAGGCUGUUUAGAAAUAAGGCAUAUUAGGGAUUAAGGUGCAGACUAAGUGGCAAUCUAGCCCUAUAGUAGUAAUGCUAUAGAUAAGGUAUUAAAAGGAAACUGCUGAGAUGGCGACAUCUUAGUUACUUUAUGGGAAAUCCUGCUAGACCUAAGCUGCAAAAUUAACUUAAUAUGCUACCACUAUUUCAUGUA
rnacentral:sRNA from 1 species